ACGUAAGGGGCAAGCGUUGUCCGGAAUCACUGGGCGUAAAGCGCGCGUAGGCGGUUUAGUAAGUCGGGUGUGAAAUCCUCGGGCUUAACCCGAGAACUGCGCCCGAAACUGCUUCACUGGAGGGACGGAGAGGUGCAUAGAAUUCCCGGUGUAGGGGUGAAAUCCAUAGAGAUCGGGAGGAACACCAGUGGCGAAGGCGACUUCCUGGCCUGUUCUUGACGCUGAUGCGCGAAAGCGUGGGUAGCAAACAGGA
rnacentral:rRNA from 1 species